rnacentral:lncRNA from 1 species
CUAUCUCUCUUCAAAUCCGAGCUGAACCCAACCCGAAUCGGGUCUAACUUUAUCAGAUUGAGCCAGAUUAUACAUGGACUUAAGUCGAUCCAAAUUAUCUAUCGGGACAAAAUUUUUGUCCAUGAAUUCGAUCUGAUCCGAUUCAAAUUUUUAUUGGAUUGGAUUUGAGUCUAACAUUAUGACUCAAUCAGAAAAUAGAUUUGGAUUGGGACAACUUAGGAACUCAUCUGAUCCAACUUAUUUGCACCCAGAAGAUGUCAGAGUUGUAGUAGUUAGGGUUUAGAAUAUUGGUCACAAGGAUGACAUAUAGCAUAUGAUAUCCACCUUGUGGUGCAAUU